rnacentral:tRNA from 2 species
GUCCUUGUAGUAUAACCAUUACCCUGGUCUUGUAAACCAGAAAUGAAGCAUAAACCCUUCCCAGGACA